GCAGCAGGUUCAGCCUGUCAUUACUUACUUUUUGAGGAAAGCUGACAGAGCUCUGACAAACUCUUGCUGGUUGACAUCUUUCACCGUAACACUCGGCAUCUGUGGGACCAAACGGACAAACGGAGGUUUCUUCCGGAGGCACGUUGCAGCAGGAGAAGAGAAUAGUUCUGGACGAGGACAGCAUCAACGGAAGGUCAGUUAUCCUUAAUUACUUCAUCUAAUCUUUACUUUUUAUGUUUUUAACUGUGAAUGAGGUUGAAAGAAGGGAGUUAUAUAGAAAACUUCAUCUUGGCUUAAUCUUCUAGGAGAUCAUACGCAAUAAUUAACAUUGGAAUAAAUAUAAAUUAUCCCAAAGUAGCAGUUAUUAAGUAAAAUAUGACAAGUUCUGGAAUUAAAUGAAAGCUAGCAGAAAAGUAUUGUUUGCUAAAAGACAGCUAGAAGUAAACCAAUUUAUUUCCUUUGGCUUAACCAUAAUGUUAAACAAUUUUCCAAAGUUAAAUAUUCUAAAGGCUAUCUAAAACUUAAAAUGGCUGAAAGGUUUGCUCUUAGCACACCUGCCUCGGACGCAUUGAGCAGAGACUCCUGGGUUGGAUUCCUAGAGGAAACACAUGCUUGAUAGUUAAUCCUCCUCUGUAAGACGCUUUGGAUAGAAGUGUCUGCUAAAUAUAACAGAAUUUUCUGCCAUUGUGAAAAAAAUGGAAAGAUAAUCAAAGAAUAAUCUAAAUCUAUAAACUAUAAGCUUAUUAUAGCAUGGUUGAAAUAGUUAGGUGUUAUACAAAAGUUGUACCAUGGACCUUGAAAGUAUACAAAAACUCCUUGUCUUUGACCUGCUUACAUCUUAUAUAGUCCAUUACGAACAACUGGAUGAAUAACAGCAAUGUGUGUCAUGAAUAUGCAAUGCAUAGGUAAAUGGGAAUUGAGCAGUCGUCUUUUCAUCCAUGAUAUGAAAGCUCAGAUUUUUUUCUACUAUCACAGUCUUUAUGCUCUAAUAUUACUGCUGCCCUUGGAAAACAGAACAGUGUGCUGUGAGAUCGAAUUGUCAUUAUAUAUUUAAUUUAGAUAAUAGCGAUCAACUUUGGAGCACAUGUAGUUACUUGAAAGGGAGACAUUUGACAUGUGAGUUGCUCAUUUCCUUUUGUAUAUUAAUCUCUGAAAGCAUGUAAUAUUAAUUAUUUCCAAUACUUUCAUCAUUUCAAUACAUCUUUCAUUCCUUUAAGGCAGUGUCUGCAGACACCGCUGUAUGGUAUUUAGAUACAAAAUAAUUGCAGGGUAGCUUUUCUUUAGCAUAGUCAUUGUAAUUCAGCAUAAUUCAGCAGGGUUUUUUUCCAAACAUUAACAUGGAAUAUAACUUAAUAUUCAAAACAUAGUUACAUCAAGGGCAACUGGAGGGAGCAGGAUUUUUGAAGACAUUUCACUUCACAUUUCUAACGAUUUUUGGAUAAAAUAACCUGGAUGACAGAGAACCUACAUAGACAUAACUCAAUAUAAUGUACAACAAUGUGAUGGCAGAAAGCUACAUUUCAACUCUCUGGUUCUGACUCUUGAACAUUUUAUACAGAACAGCAGAAUCACUCAAAAACUAAACAAGGAAGGAAAUAUAUAGGCAAGUUAAAAAUAACUAAGGGAUUAUUUUUGUAUGAAUUUAAAUUUUUGUCUUUUUCAUCUGUGUGAGAGGGUUGUGGGCAGAGUAAGUAGAGAGAGAAGUACACAGAUGAUGCAGGAUAAAAUAAAAGACUGACAGAGAAGAGAAACAGCCCAAAAACAGGCAAACCUGCAGUUUUACAAAUAAGAUUGAAGAUUACACAAAUUGAUGUAGUAUGAAACGUCUUACACACACUUCUUUUCACUUGAUAAAAAUAUCAUAAUGAUGAUACUAAUCAGACACAUGUUCAGUAUUUUAUCAACCAAAAAAAAUCACCAAAUAGAUAGUCUUGAUCUCCACAUUGUAUAAAAUAUUACCAGAGUGAAUGCAACAGGUUUUGGUCCUGUUAGAAUGAGAAUACUGUCUCAAUUAUUAUCAGUAUUAUUGAUGACAUUUUCUGAAUCUUGUAAUGAUGAAGUAACAAAAGUCAUCUAUAAACUUUAGGAGACAUCCACCUAAUGGACCCAUUUGUUUUAAUUCUAUUGUCAUUCCGCCCCAGGUGGUUUGUGAUGUUUUUCCUUUCUGGAAUGUAGGCGAAAACAUCAAAUAGCAAAUUAACACCAGCAUGUAAAAACAGGGUGAAUGAAUGAGUCUGAAACGUACAGACAUGUUCAUAUGUACACACGCACACACAUGUGCACGAGACAGCCUUCCCCUGUGUAUUAUUGUGUUUGGUUUUGUCCGUAUGUGUGUGUCUGUCGCCUGAGCUUCUUCCCCUCCCCCUCUCUCAGCAUAUCUCUCCCCUUUUUUGUCCCCCUCACCCUCCCCUUUCCCCUCCUACUUGCUCUCUCCUGCCUGCUAGCACUAUUUCAAGCCUUGGCCUCAGAGAGAGAAAGGGGAGGGGAAAGCAGACAGGAUUUAGAGUUCAAGUGCACGUGCAGAAAAUAGGCUGAAUAGAGGAGAGCCAGAGCAAAAAGGAAACCAGGAAAAGGAGCGGCAGGGGCAGGAGACAAAGCGCACAGUAGCCCUUUCUUUUUCCUCAUUUGUUUCUCUCCAUUUUCUUCCCACAGAAAUAGAAAGUAUUGGCUUUGGAAUGGGGCGUUGAAAAAAAAGCCCAAAAUUCAAAUACCGUGAGUGUGAAAAAAUGUAUUUCUGUCUCCUCCUCUUUCCUCUCCCCACUGACACACUCCUCCUCUAUCCCUCCCUCUUGGAUAUUUCUCUAUGAACCCAAUAGUCUAUCUCUCCCUCUCUCUCUCCUUCAAUAUAUCUUUCUCUCUCUCUCUCUCUCUUUCUCUCUCUCUCUCUCUUACUGUUUCUCUCCUCUGUCUCUCCACCCACCUCACAUGCACACACCCCGGUGGACUCCUUCCACUCCUCACGCGCGCUUACUGAAGACUGACUGCAAGCUCGGGUUUUUUCUCCUCUUUUUCAUUUGCUCGCCAUUCUUUUCUUUUGGUUACUCACUCAUGUACCAAGGCUCCUCGACACUCAAAGACGCAUAAACUACAGUACGUGGCACCUCUGAGAGGCACAGGCUGUGGAUUCUCCCUGUGUUAGACUUCAUGCCAGAAACUGCAGUCAUUUUUUUUUACUAACUUAAAACUCAAUUUCAGUUUAGAACCGAUUUUUUUUCUAAGCGUCUCAUAGUCUGAAACAGUGAUCGUGGGAAAAAAAGUGCCAGAUGAAAGGACAGAUGAAGGGGAUACAGGUAAAAGAAUAGGGUAAAGAAUGGAUAGCCUGCUCUGCAGGAGAAAGUGAGAACGAGAGAAGGAGAGAGAGAGUAAAGAGUACCGGUACUGGCAAGAAAAAAUGGGAGGGGGAGAGAAGAGAAGGGGACCAUUAGGGGAUAGACCUAGGAAGGAGGGACGGUGGCAUAGGAAUUGGCAAAAUCGCGGGAAGGAGGAAAAAAAAACAAAACUCCAAAAACCAGAAGUUGACUUUGAUGAAGAACCCCGGCCGACAGCUUUGAAAUUUUUUUUAUCUUAUUUCUUUUUCAUAUUUUGACCAAAUUUUUCAUUACUUCUGCGGCCGCUCCUCUCUCAUUCAUCAGUGACUCCGCAGAGAAUCUAGUCCAAUGGAGGUAAGACA